CACAAGGGUGUUCCAGGCCUCGGGGGGGGGGGGGGGUCCUGGCAGGGGCCUCCCAAGUGGCCGUUUUCAGUUUUGCUUUGUGGGCCCUGGGGAAGGGGGCUGAUUAGGCCUCACUCAGAAGGAGCCGUUUCUAUGACAGCUUCCAUAGAAUUCGUUUUAAUGUUGAGAUCCGUUCACCCUUGUGCACGCAGAGGAAGCCACCAGGUCCUGGCUAGAGCAGAAACCCCAGCCGCCGCGAAGCCAGAGUGCUUGCUUCUGGCUAACCCCGAGGCCCGGGGG